UCUGGUUGAUCCUGCCAGUAGUCAUAUGCUUGUCUCAAAGAUUAAGCCAUGCAUGUCUAAGUAUAAGCAAUUUAUACAGUGAAACUGCGAAUGGCUCAUUAAAUCAGUUAUCGUUUAUUUGAUAGUUCCUUUACUACAUGGUAUAACUGUGGUAAUUCUAGAGCUAAUACAUGCUUAAAAUCUCGACCCUUUGGAAGAGAUGUAUUUAUUAGAUAAAAAAUUAAUGUCUUCGGACUCUUUGAUGAUUCAUAAUAACUUUUCGAAUCGCAUGGCCUUGUGCUGGCGAUGGUUCAUUCAAAUUUCUGCCCUAUCAACUUUCGAUGGUAGGAUAGUGGCCUACCAUGGUUUCAACGGGUAACGGGGAAUAAGGGUUCGAUUCCGGAGAGGGAGCCUGAGAAACGGCUACCACAUCCAAGGAAGGCAGCAGGCGCGCAAAUUACCCAAUCCUAAUUCAGGGAGGUAGUGACAAUAAAUAACGAUACAGGGCCCAUUCGGGUCUUGUAAUUGGAAUGAGUACAAUGUAAAUACCUUAACGAGGAACAAUUGGAGGGCAAGUCUGGUA
rnacentral:rRNA from 1 species